rnacentral:lncRNA from 1 species
CCGGCUGCCGUGCUGCCCACAGCCAGAAAGGCUGGUCUUACUCCUAUUGUGCCCCCACAACAGAACCAAGUUUAUUUCCAAGCAGCUGGUAAGCAGGGCUGAGAACGUGCUCCAGGCUACAAGCCUCCCAGCUGAGAAUGCAAGCCAACUCACAGUUUCUCAGGCAUCCCAUGGAGCCUGCAGAGGCAAUCCGCAUCCUUCAAAGGGUUUGUGGAUUCUUUCUGCUUUCCUGCUGUGACCUUCUUUUUCGCCGACUUCGAAUCAUAACUAAUGGGAAGGCCUUAGUAAGCUGAAAUAAUGAAAGCUGAUUUAUUUGGCCUUGGUCUAGGUUAGAUACUAAAUAUCCAGGCAAGAGAUCCCAGGGGCAAGGCAUAAACUAAAAAUUAAAAUGUGAAAUCAAAUGGCAGAAAAGAAUCCAGACAGUGUUCAUAAAGAGACUGUUUUUAUAUAAUCAUAGGACUAGAAAAAUGUAAUUUGGAAUAUUAGUUUUAUGCUUAUAUUUUCUCAAUCAUGUAAUUUUUUUAUUGCUCUUAGU